rnacentral:rRNA from 1 species
GACGAACCGUGCGAACGUUGUUCGGAAUCACUGGGCUUAAAGGGCGCGUAGGCGGGUCAGCAAGUCCGGGGUGAAAUCUUUCGGCUCAACCGGAAAAGUGCCUCGGAUACUGCUGGUCUUGAGGGAGGUAGGGGUUUGUGGAACUUCUGGUGGAGCGGUGAAAUGCGUUGAUAUCAGAAGGAACGCCGGUGGCGAAAGCGACGAACUGGACCUCUUCUGACGCUGAGGCGCGAAAGCUAGGGGAGCAAACGGG